rnacentral:rRNA from 1 species
AGAAUCAACGCUGGCGGCGUGCCUAACACAUGCAAGUCGAACGAGAAAGGGGAGCAAUCCCUGAGUAAAGUGGCGACCGGGUGAGUAACACGUGACUAACCUACCUUCGAGUGGGGGGAUAACUCCGGGAAACCGGGGCUAAUACCGCAUAACAUCCUCGGAUCGGAAGAACUGGGGAUCAAAGGAGCAAUUCGCUUGAAGAGGGAGUCGCGGCUGAUUAGCUUGUUGGCGGGGUAAUGGCCCACCAAGGCGAUGAUCGGUAUCCGGCCUGAGAGGGCGCACGGACACACUGGAACUGAAACACGGUCCAGACUCCUACGGGAGGCAGCAGUGGGGAAUUUUGCGCAAUGGGGGAAACCCUGACGCAGCAACGCCGCGUGGAGGAUGAAGUCCCUUGGACGUAAACUCCUUUCGACCGGGACGAUAAUGACGGUACCGGUGGAAGAAGCCCCGGCUAACUCGCGCCAGCAGCCGC